rnacentral:rRNA from 1 species
GAUGAACGCUAGCGGCAGGCUUAACACAUGCAAGUCGAGGGGUAGAGGAAGCUUGCUUCCUUGAGACCGGGCGCACGGGUGCGUAACGCGUAUGCAAUCUACCUUAUACAGGGGGAUAGCCCAGAGAAAUUUGGAUUAAUACCCCAUAGUAUAAUUGAAUGGCAUCAUUUAAUUAUUAAAAGUUCCAACGGUAUAAGAUGAGCAUGCGUCCCAUUAGCUAGUGGUGUGGUAACGGCACACCAAGGCGACGAUGGGUAGGGGUCCUGAGAGGGAGAUCCCCCACACUGGUACUGAGACACGGACCAGACUCCUACGGGAGGCAGCAGUGAGGAAUAUUGGUCAAUGGGCGCAAGCCUGAACCAGCCAUGCCGCGUGCAGGAUG